UGGUUUGCACUUUAUACGGGCAGGCUUGAUUCGGUAGGGGAGACUGGAAUUCCUGGUGUAGCGGUGAAAUGCGCAGAUAUCCGGAGGAACACCGGUGGCGAAGGCGGGUCUCUGGGCCGAUACUGACGCUGAGGAGCGAAAGCGUGGGGAGCGAACAGGAUUAGAUACCCUGGUAGUCCACGCUGUAAACGUUGGGCGCUAGGUGUGGGGGGCCUCUCCGGUUCUCUGUGCCGUAGCUAACGCAUUAAGCGCCCCGCCUGGGGAGUACGGCCGCAAGGCUAAAACUCAAAGGAAUUGACGGGGGCCCGCACAAGCGGCGGAGCAUGCGGAUUAAUUCGAUGCGACGCGAAGAACCUUACCUGGGUUUGACAUGGCCGUUAAAGCCGCAGAUAUGUGUUGUCCUUCGGGGGCGGUCACAGGUGGUGCAUGGCUGUCGUCAGCUCGUGUCGUGAGAU
rnacentral:rRNA from 1 species